GGCUCAGGAGGAACGCUGGCGGCGUGCUCACACAUGCAAGUCGAACGAUGAAGCUGGAGCUUGCUCCGGUGGAUUAGUGGCGAACGGGUGAGUAACACGUGAGCAAUCUGCCCUUGACUCUGGGAUAACUGCGGGAAACUGUAGCUAAUACCGGAUACGACGCUUGGAGGCAUCUCCGGGCGUGGAAAGAAUUUCGGUCAAGGAUGAGCUCGCGGCCUAUCAGCUAGUUGGUGAGGUAAUGGCUCACCAAGGCGACGACGGGUAGCCGGCCUGAGAGGGUGACCGGCCACACUGGGACUGAGACACGGUCCAGACUCCUACGGGAGGCAGCAGUGGG
rnacentral:rRNA from 1 species